UGCCUUGUUCUUCAGCAAUUAGACACAACCUGCUGUGUGUCUGAAAUGGAAAACUUGGCUAGAAGAGUAACAGGUUUUGCUUUCCUCACUGUACACUUUGUUGCAGUGGUGACAAUGAGACCUGUAACAAGU